rnacentral:rRNA from 1 species
UACGGAGGAUGCGAGCGUUAUCCGGAAUCAUUGGGUUUAAAGGGUGCGUAGGCUGGUAUUUAAGUCAGUGGUGAAAUUUUCGUGCUUAACAUGAGAGCUGCCAUUGAUACUGGAUACCUUGAGUGUAUUUGAUGUGGGCGGAAUGUGUUGUGUAGCGGUGAAAUGCUUAGAUAUGACACAGAACACCGAUAGCGAAGGCAGCUCACAAAGUUACAACUGACGCUGAUGCACGAAAGCGUGGGGAUCAAACAGG